rnacentral:rRNA from 1 species
GGCUCAUUAUAUAAGUUAUCGUUUAUUUGAUAGUACUUUACUACUUGGAUAACCGUGGUAAUUCUAGAGCUAAUACAUGCUAAAAAUCCCGACUUCGGAAGGGAUGUAUUUAUUAGAUUAAAAACCAAUGCCCUUUGGGCUCCUUGGUGAAUCAUGAUAACUUCUCGAAUCGCAUGGCCUUGCGCCGGCGAUGGUUCAUUCAAAUUUCUUCCCUAUCAACUUUCGAUGUUUGGGUAUUGGCCAAACAUGGUCGCAACGGGUAACGGAGGGUUAGGGCUCGACCCCGGAGAAGGAGCCUGAGAAACGGCUACUACAUCCAAGGAAGGCAGCAGGCGCGCAAAUUACCCAAUCCCGACUCGGGGAGGUAGUGACAAUAAAUACUGAUACGAGGCUCUUUUGGGCCUUGUAAUUGGAAUGAGUACAAUUUAAAUCUCUUAACGAGGAACAAUUGGAGGGCAAGUCUGGUGCCAGCAGCCGCGGUAAUUCCAGCUCCAAUAGCGUAUAUUAAAGUUGUUGUGGUUAAAAAGCUCGUAGUUGAACCUUGGGCCUGGCUGGCCGGUCCGCCUCACCGCGUGUACUGGUCCGGCCGGGCCUUUCCCUCUGUGGAACC